CGUGUAGGCGGUCUGAUUAGUCUGAUGUGAAAGCCCUGGGCUCAACCCAGGAAGUGCAUUGGAUACUGUCAGACUUGAAUACGGGAGAGGGUAGUGGAAUUCCUAGUGUAGGAGUGAAAUCCGUAGAUAUUAGGAGGAACACCGGUGGCGAAGGCGGCUACCUGGACCGAUAUUGACGCUGAGACGCGAAAGCGGUGGGUAGCAAACAGGAUUAGAUACCCUGGUAGUCCACGCCGUAAACGAUGAGUACUAGGUGUUGCGGGUAUUGACCCCUGCAGUGCCGCAGCUAACGCAUUAAGUACUCCGCCUGGGAAGUACGGUCGCAAGACUAAA
rnacentral:rRNA from 1 species